rnacentral:rRNA from 1 species
GUUGAACGCUGGCGGCAGGCCUAACACAUGCAAGUCGAGCGGAUGAAGGGAGCUUGCUCCUGGAUUCAGCGGCGGACGGGUGAGUAAUGCCUAGGAAUCUGCCUGGUAGUGGGGGAUAACGUCCGGAAACGGGCGCUAAUACCGCAUACGUCCUGAGGGAGAAAGUGGGGGAUCUUCGGACCUCACGCUAUCAGAUGAGCCUAGGUCGGAUUAGCUAGUUGGUGGGGUAAAGGCCUACCAAGGCGACGAUCCGUAACUGGUCUGAGAGGAUGAUCAGUCACACUGGAACUGAGACACGGUCCAGACUCCUACGGGAGGCAGCAGUGGGGAAUAUUGGACAAUGGGCGAAAGCCUGAUCCAGCCAUGCCGCGUGUGUGAAGAAGGUCUUCGGAUUAUAAAGCACUUUAAGUUGGGAGGAAGGGCAGUAAGUUAAUACCUUGCUGUUUUGACGUUACCAACAGAAUAAGCACCGGCUAACUUCGUG